UAUGUUCCCACCUGAAUGGUGCUUUGGCUGUGCAGUUCACAUGCACAGUUUGUCCACAUGCACCUAUUCAUCCCCCAGCGAUUGUAGCCCAGCUUCUUUUAGGUUUUAGAUUUUAGAUAUGUUAAGUUUAAGUCUACCUUCCUUUUUUUACGUGAACUUGCCUCACUGUUUAAAUAAUGUCUGCCUCUGACUCAUCAAUUGUUUACUUAUAUUCCUCAGGGCCCGAAAGGACCAAGAGGUGAAAGGGGACCCCAGGGCCCUGACGGGAGGGACGGCAGACCUGGCAACCCCGGCCCUGCUGGGCCCCCAGGACCCCCUGGCCUCGGCAGAAACUUUGCUGCUCAGUAUGAUCACAACAAAGGCGCUGAUAUUGGUCCCGGCCCCAUGGGAAUGAUGGGAAUGAAAGGCCAACCUGGACUUCCCGGCCCCCCUGGAGAAAGAGUGAUAAUCCCUUGAGUCCGGACUUUGUUCCAUCUCUUUUCAACUACGUUCCAUCUCCAGAGAAGAGGAAAAGAAAAUGAGACUGGAGGUUUUCAACAGACGACAGGGAGCAAAGCUACAGAAGAUGGAGCAGACAAAGCUAUCUGCGAAAGCCAUCCCUCCCAGAGCAUCAACAGAUUGUCCCCAAGACUGCAACAAGGAUCCUACUGCAGAGCAAAGUCCCACCACAGAGCCUUUGAAGGAAUCUACCCAUGAAGAACCUGGAAACGAUGUCCAGCCUGUUCUCCAUGAGGAGGAUCCAGCAACCCCACCAUGCACCACUGAACCUGUGGUAAAUGCGUCCAAUCUCUUGAGCAAGAAUGCCAAGCUCUGAGGACUGAAAAUAUGUUGUUGAAGGAAAAAAUGAAUAGGACUACACUGAAUGAGAUGAGCUUGCAUAACGAUGAUAAAAGGGUUCAUACUCUCACUGGUUUAUCAGCAUUCUCCAUUCUCAUGACAAUUUUUUCAUAUUGUGGCUCCUUUUCUCCAACUUAAAUCUAGUUUAACAUGUUUUCAGCAGUACAUGUUAACUUUAAUUAAGCUUAGAAUGAACUUGUCCUUUGAGUUUUUGGCUUUUUAUUUUGACAUUGACUCAACCACUGUUUCAAAGCUCUUCAAACACUGCAUUAGUGUGAUGCAUUGUAGACUGGUGCCAAGUCUGGUGUUGUGGCCUGACAGAGAAUACUUAAGAAAAUCUCUUCCAUAUGCAUUUCGAAACCGUAGCUUUGAAAAGACAGUUUGCAUUAUAGAUUGUUUUGAAAUAUUUCUAGAGAAACCCAGUAGAUUGCUAGCCAGUGCUCAGUGUUACUCAUCAUACAAAUCACACCACACAAUGAAAUAUUUAAUUGCAAUUUGCCCUCGAGGUUCCAUUUGUUUCAUUUCCGCUGGAUGGGGAGGUCGCACAAGUGAUACGUUUAUCACAGAACAAAGUCACUUUUUAUCUCAUUUGCUCCCAGGGGACGUAGUUUUAGCGGACAGAGGUUGUCUGGUUAAAGAGUCCAUUGAGAGAUGCCAAGCUGAAUUAAAAAUUCCAGCAUUUACUCGUGGAUAGAAGCAGUUAGAUCCUGCUGACUUGGAGAACACCAGACGUCUAGCCUCUCUUAGGAUACAUAUUGAAAGAGUGAUAGGAGUUCUCCGUCAAAAGUACACAGUCUUGCAAAGCACUGUCCCCAUAUGUUUCACGGACAUAGACAGGGAAAAUGAUGUGACCUACCUUGACAAGAUGGUGAGCGUGUGUUGUGCACUUACAAAUGUGUCUGAAUCUGUGGUGUCCUUCCAGUGAUGGGGAUGUACAGUAAAUUGAACUGAUGUGACUGGCUACAGAUGUGCUCAACCAGCAAAUAAACCUUUGUGACUCACACUUCUUGCUUGCUUGUCGUGACAUUAUUUUUAAUCACUCGCUAUUCUGAUGCGAUCACAUCGUUUCUCUUUGCAGAUCAAGCUGCACAUCCACCCAUUCUAACUUGAGUUCCACCCAAACAGAUAUUUGUUCUGGUGUGUUUUAUAUGAAUGACCCACCCAUGUUUCAUAUCCCUGAUUGCUACAGAUAUCUAAUACAAAUUAUGGGGAAGAGAACAAUAUUGGUUUAACAACUGUUUAUUCAUAAAUAACAGUACAGUAUCAGCUACUACAAACAACUCAUUUCACAGUCUCCUCACUAAGGUUUUCUUCUUUGGGCAUUGAUCACUUUUCGGCAGAUGGGACAUACCCACUGUUUUGGGA